rnacentral:rRNA from 1 species
UACAGAGGUCUCAACCGUUGUUCGGAUUCAUUGGGCGUAAAGGGUGCGUAGGCGGUCGUGCAAGUCGGAUGUGAAAUCUCAGGGCUCAACCCUGAAACUGCAUUCGAUACUGCGUGGCUAGAGUGCUGGAGAGGAGACUGGAAUUUACGGUGUAGCAGUGAAAUGCGUAGAGAUGUGGAGGAACACCAGUGGCGAAGGCGGCUUUCUGGUCUGUAACUGACGCUGAGGCGCGAAAGCGUGGGGAGCAAACAGG